CUGCUGCCUCCCGUAGGAGUUUGGGCCGUGUCUCAGUCCCAAUGUGGCCGUUCACCCUCUCAGGCCGGCUACUGAUCGUUGCCUUGGUAGGCUUUUACCCCACCAACUAGCUAAUCAGACGCGGAACCAUCGUAUACCACCUCAGUUUUUCACACUGCUUCAUGUGAAGCUGUGCGCUUAUGCGGUAUUAGCACCUAUUUCUAAGUGUUAUCCCCCAGUAUACGGCAGGUUUUCCACGCGUUACUCACCCGUCCG
rnacentral:rRNA from 1 species